CAGGCCUAACACAUGCAAGUCGAGGGGUAUUGUUCUUCGGAAUGAGAGACCGGCGCACGGGUGCGUAACGCGUAUGCAAUCUACCUUUUACAGAGGGAUAGCCCAGAGAAAUUUGGAUUAAUACCUCAUAGUAUGCAGAGUUGGCAUCAACAUUGCAUUAAAGUUAUAACGGUAAAAGAUGAGCAUGCGUCCCAUUAGCUAGUUGGUAAGGUAACGGCUUACCAAGGCUACGAUGGGUAGGGGUCCUGAGAGGGAGAUCCCCCACACUGGUACUGAGACACGGACCAGACUCCUACGGGAGGCAGCAGUGAGGAAUAUUGGACAAUGGGCGCAAGCCUGAUCCAGCCAUGCCGCGUGCAGGAUGACGGUCCUAUGGAUUGUAAACUGCUUUUGCACAGGAAGAACAACAUUACGUGUAAUGUCUUGACGGUACUGUGAGAAUAAGGAUCGGCUAACUCCGUGCCAGCAGCCGCGGUAAUACGGAGGAUCCAAGCGUUAUCCGGAAUCAUUGGGUUUAAAGGGUCCGUAGGCGGUUUGGUAAGUCAGUGGUGAAAGCCCAUCGCUCAACGGUGGAACGGCCAUUGAUACUGCCAGACUUGAAUUAUUAGGAAGUAACUAGAAUAUGUAGUGUAGCGGUGAAAUGCUUAGAGAUUACAUGGAAUACCAAUUGCGAAGGCAGGUUACUACUAAUGGAUUGACGCUGAUGGACGAAAGCGUGGGCAGCGAACAGGAUUAGAUACCCUGGUAGUCCACGCCGUAAACGAUGGAUACUAGCUGUUGGGAGCGAUCUCAGUGGCUAAGCGAAAGUGAUAAGUAUCCCACCUGGGGAGUACGUUCGCAAGAAUGAAACUCAA
rnacentral:rRNA from 1 species